UACGUAGGGUGCGAGCGUUGUCCGGAAUUAUUGGGCGUAAAGAGCUCGUAGGCGGUUUGUUGCGUCGGCCGUGAAAACCUGCAGCUUAACUGUGGGCCUGCGGCCGAUACGGGCAGACUUGAGUUCGGUAGGGGAGACUGGAAUUCCUGGUGUAGCGGUGAAAUGCGCAGAUAUCAGGAGGAACACCGGUGGCGAAGGCAGAUCUCUGGGCCGUAACUGACGCUGAGGAGCGAAAGCGUGGGGAGCGAACAGG
rnacentral:rRNA from 1 species